rnacentral:tRNA from 1 species
GCGCCUGUAGUGUACGUGGUAUGCACGCCUGCCUGUGAAGCAGGAAGUAAGGGUUCAACUCCCUUCGGACGCC